UACAGAGGGUGCGAGCGUUAAUCGGAAUUACUGGGCGUAAAGCGCACGUAGGCGGCUUGGUAUGUCGGGUGUGAAAUCCCCGGGCUCAACCUGGGAACUGCAUCCGAAACUGCCUUGCUCGAGUAUGGGAGAGGGAAGUGGAAUUUCCGGUGUAGCGGUGAAAUGCGUAGAUAUCGGAAGGAACAUCAGUGGCGAAGGCAGCUCGCUGGAACGGUACUGACGCUGAGGCGCGAAAGCGUGGGGAGCAAACAGG
rnacentral:rRNA from 1 species